AAAUUAAAUUAUAUUGAGUGUUUUAUGAUUUACCAUAUGUCGAAUUGUUGGUUGAAUGGAUUAAAGGAACUUGUAUAUGAAAACAAGAUUCUUUUUCACAUGUAUUGAUUCAAAUCUAAAUGUAUCAUAUACACAUCUACAAUGUAUUAUAAUAUGUAUUAAAGCAAUUUCAGAACC
rnacentral:misc_RNA from 1 species